GAAAAAUGGCGUCGCGGGGGACGGAAAUAGCUGGCUAGCUAACCUCGAUGGCUGGCUAGCUAACAAUUAUCAAUUAACAAUUAUCAAGCUAUGACAAAGACAACUAGGUAGCUCGCUAGGUAACACUGCACUAGUCAAAUCGUUCCGUUGUGAAGUAUUAGUAACUACAGCGCUGCUAGUCGGUAACGGAUGGCUAUCUGGCAGUGGGUUAAUGAUGACUAGGUGUGUUGAGUAAGUCUGGCGCACCUCGAUAAUACUCAAACUCAAGCUACACAAUUAUCUUAGAUACAGAGACAGCACAGACAACUAUGUAGCUGGCUAACUAACACUAACACCACACUAAUCAAGUCGUUGCGUUGUAAUGUAAUAGUUUCUGCGGUGCUGUUAGUCGGUAGAAGUUGGCUAGCUAACAGUGAUGACUAGCUAGCUAGCAGCUAGCAGUGUUGACUACGUUAGGAGGACGAAGAUAGCUAGCCUCGAUAAUUACUCAGUUACUCUAAACUACACAAUUAUCUUUGAUACAAAGACGGCUAUGUAGCUAGCUAAGAAGAAUUGCUCAGAUCAAACAAAUCAAGCCGUUGUAAUGUAGCGAAGUGGAAUAUUACCUGUGGAGCGAAGCGUGCUUACUUACCAAUAGUUCCUUUUGUCCAGGUAUGAAAGGGCCGUGUGGAGUGCAAUAAAGAUUGCAUCAUUUGUGGAUCUGUUGGGGCGGUAUGCAAAUUGGAGUGGGUCUAGGGGACUAUGGUGGUCUGCUUGAAACAUGGUGGUAUUACAGACUCAGACAGGGAGAGGUUGAAAAUGUCAGUGAAGACACUUGCCAGUUGGUCAGCGCAUGUUCGGAGUACACGUUCUGGUAAUCCGUCUGGCUCUGCGGCCUUGUGAAUGUGGACCUGUUUAAAGGUCUUACUCACAUCAGCUGCGGAGAGCGUGGUCACACAGUUGUUCGGAACAGCUGAUGCUCUCAUGCAUGUUUCAGUGUUACUUACCUCGAAGCGAGCAUAGAGGUUAUUAAGCUUGUCUGGUAGGCUCGUGUCACUGGAAAGCUUGUCUGGUAGGCUCGUGUCACUGGGCAGCUCUCGGCUGUGCUUCCCUUUGUAGUCUGUAAUAGUUUGCAAGCCCUGCCACAUCCGACGAGCGGAGCCGGUGUAGUACGAUUCGAGCUUAGUCCUGUAUUGACACUUUGCCUGUUUGAUGGUUCGUCGGAGGGCAUAGCGGGAUUUCUUAUAAGCUACUGGGUUAGAGUCCCGCUCCUUCAAAGCGGCAGCUCUACCCUUUAGCUCAGUGCGAAUGUUGCCUGUAAUUCAUGGCUUCUGGUUGGGGUAUGUACAUACGAGCACUGUGGGGACGACGUCCUCGAUGCACUUAUUGAUAAAGCCAGUUACUCGUGUUGUGUACUCCUCAAUGCCAUCAGAAGAGGCCCGGAACAUAUAGAGUGACCAAUAGUUACUGUAUUAUGAUUCUUUAGUGUUUUAUUUACUCAACAAGUAGUGCCCGAAAGAGGGAUCGAACCAUGUCUCAAAAGCAGCAGAAAAGGUCAAAUAAGGUCACCAAAAUGUCCCUGUUGGCUAUACAUGACUGGCCCUACCAGUAGUAGUUCAUGGCUACAGACUGUAGUUAUUCUUGAUGUGACUAGAUGAAGCUGUACUGAUAGCCACAGGAUAUGGGAUGAUUGAAUGGGAAAAAUGGAAAUAAACAAAUAUAAAAGCCAUAUAAUUUACACAUUAUGCCAUCAUCUCACAAAAGCCAUGUUUUUACGGAAUGGCUCAGCGCCCAUGUUUAUAAAGCGAGAGGAAGUUGUCCAUUUUUGCACUUUAGGUUAACAUUGCAAAGGCUGCGUUUAGACAGGGUAUCCAGGAUUCUUGGGACAUCCCUACACCAUUUAAAUUGACAUUUAGAAUGGUUAAGGUUAGGGUAAUGCUUAAGGCUAGGGACAUCCAAAGGAGCUAGGAUUGCACUAACCGUUUACACAGGCUGCCCAGUUCUGAUCUUUUUUUCACUAAUUGGUAUUUUGAACAAUCAGAUCAGCUCUAAAAAAUAUGUAAUGUCAAAAGAUCUGAUGUGAUUGGUCAAAAGACCAAUUAGUGGAAAAUAGAUCAGAAUUGGGUUGCCUGUGUAAACACAGCCAUACAGCACAUACAGUAACUUGCAUGAGGAGCAAGCAAAAGUACACCAAAGGUACUUCAUAAAAGUUUCCUAGAUUAGAAACAAAAGAAUAGAACAAACUAUGACGUCAAUAACAUGCAAUACAUAUUCCGUAAACAUGUUUUCAACCUAAGAUAAAUGUGAUAUGCUGAAAUGAUACAGGUACAGUCUACUGUAGGUUUAGAAACACCCCUCCCCCUCAACGUUACAAAUACUGUAUUGCCAAAUAUGUGUAUAAUACAAUAUAAUGCAUUUAUACAUUUUGGGGUUCUGGAGUUUCAUCAUGAUGUUGCUACAAUUCACAGAUUUGUAAACUCCAUAAAUAUUGUAUUGUCUAUAUUUGGGUUGAUUUUUGGAUGUAAAUGAUGGUUUUCUGAACUUUAAUGCUAUGGUUAAGUUCCAAUGGAGCCGUUUCCAUCUAAAUAUUAAAUCAUUUCUGGGUAACAGUUAAGUACCUUACUGUGAUUGUAUUCAAUUAAAAUGAAAC
rnacentral:lncRNA from 1 species